GGGCGUAUAGCUCAAUGGCGGAGCAGGGCUCUUAUAAGGCCAAGGUUCCUGGUUCGAAUCCAGGUACGCCCA
rnacentral:tRNA from 1 species